rnacentral:rRNA from 1 species
CGUAGGGGGCUAGCGUUAUCCGGAUUUUACUGGGCGUAAAAGGGUGCGUAGGCGGUCUUUUUAAGUCAGGAGUGAAAGGCUACGGCUCAACCGUAGUAAGCUCUUGAAAACUGGAGGACUUGAGUGCAGGAGAGGAGAGUGGAAUUCCUAGUGUAGCGGUGAAAUGCGUAGAUAUUAGGAGGAACACCAGUAGCGAAGGCGGCUCUCUGGACUGUAACUGACGCUGAGGCACGAAAGCGUGGGGAGCAAACAGGAUU